GUGAGCUUGCUUCUUUUGUUUGUUUGGCCUCCAUCCAUGAGUCUAUCUCUAUAGCUUAGCUAGGGUUUCCUAAAGUGAGGAAAGAGAAAGAGAGGUUUUGGGUGGCCCUAAUUAAAGAUAAUCUUUGUUUGCGAAAUCAAUCUUCAAGAUCAAGAAGCCAAGGUUUUCUUAAUUAAGCCAUUUUGUUAACUAUUUGGAAGAUCCAAUAUAAUUGUUAGUGUUAAUUGAGAUAUUUAAAGAUCAACCUACAAGUUUGGAAAUGAUCUUGUAAUGUUAUUUUGGUGCAGUUUCGGAAAGUUUUGACUCGUGUUUUUAGUGAUUCAUAAACGGAAAUAUUUCUCAUUGUUGUCUGAUUAACUUAUGAUAAAUGAAACGUGUUACCCUAUUAAACACAUGUUUGGAUCUUAUAUCUUUUAUCACAUGCUCAGGUAUAAUGGAAGGAAAGAUUUCAGAGAUUUUAAGAAAUGAUUGUAAGUCUUGGGAAGGAAAGUUUUGAUUUUUAUGGGACUGUGAUUCUGUCAAUGUAUAAAGAUAUAUAUAGGUUGUAAACAUCUUUGUCAUGUUUACUUCAUUGGCAGAAGACCCUAUUCAUAGAUUAAUAUAUGAUGUUGAGCUGAAAGUUUA